rnacentral:rRNA from 1 species
UAGCGAAGGGGGCUAGCGUUGCUCGGAAUUACUGGGCGUAAAGGGCGCGUAGGCGGAUAUUUAAGUUAGAGGUGAAAGCCCAGGGCUCAACCCUGGAAUAGCCUUUAAUACUGGAUAUCUUGAGUUCGGGAGAGGUGAGUGGAACUCCGAGUGUAGAGGUGAAAUUCGUAGAUAUUCGGAAGAACACCAGUGGCGAAGGCGACUCACUGGCCCGAUACUGACGCUGAGGCGCGAAAGCGUGGGGAGCAAACAGG